CUGUUUCCCACCGUCCCCCCCUUCCCAACUUUGGUUUCCCUCUCUCCUCUCAUAAUUGAAGAGUCGCAAACCUCACCGGUGUGGCGGGAAUUGAAAUAUUCCUAUUGCCGGAAACGGUGACCGGUCGGAGAUUAAAACCCUAGAUCAACCAGAAGCUCACUGAAGAACCCUACAGAUGCGAAAACAAGUUAGAGAAGACAAUUUGUUAUUUUUUGUAUGUUAAUUUGUUCAAUUUCCUUUAAUAAUCAGCCUCUGCCAUUGAUUUUCGGUUUGAAAUUUACGUUUUCUAGGUUUAGAUGUUCUUCCUUAGCUUGAUUGAGCACACACUCCGAUUGUCGCCUCAUCUUCUGGACUUCCUCUCAGUGAAGCCAUCAAAGGAGAGCUUGAAAGUCUCUUCUUAGACAAGGUCGUUGCGAAUUUGGGGCUGUGUAGCUUUGUUAAUGAUAUCAGGUCUAUAGAUGGUGGUUUUUUCUUCCCUGGGGAUAGUGCUUCAACCUAUACGGUAUACUUAAAUCUAAAAUUUGGUUUUCAUACUUUAUCGAUCUCGGAUUGUGUCAUGCCUACAUAUUCUGCUGUCGAAAAAGAUGAUAGGCUGGACCAAUUUUUAUGGAAUGUCCAACUCUUCUAAUGUUUAUGCUCAUAUAAUAAUUGAAAAUCAUGGUAUCUUGGCAGGUGGAGUUUAGAUUGGUUAUGUUUGGGUUGUUUGUCGAGGAUAUUAUCACUGCAAAACUUAAAAGAAUCGGACGCCAAUGGCUUAAGAAGUAUGUAUUAAGGCCUCUUAUUUGUAUUAUGAAUUAAUCAAAAUAUAUUUGCAUCUGUUAUUCUAUUGUUCUUAUGUUAAUCUUGGGGAAUAGUGUUAUCUAUUUCAUCACACUUGCUUAAAAUGUAUGUAUUUAUGCACAUAUUUUGACUUGUUAGGUUUUGGAAAUUUUUAUUUCCUCUUUGGUGGGUCUUAAGUUAAACAUAAACUUUUGGUUGCUUUAUGGGAUGAUAAAUUAUUAAAACUGGUGCUUAAGCAACACAUGACUUCAAUGAGACAGUUCCUCGGUUAUGAUGAAUUGAGAAUUAGAUGGGUUGAUUUGGGAGUAAUGCAUUCAUCUUAUAAAUUAUGAUGACAAUGCAUUUAAAUGAAAAGAAAAUGUUCUAGGAUAAUGUAAAGAUAUGUAUUUAAAUGAUUUUAAUCAUUAAUACUUGAUCCAAAUGAGUUUAUUAAGUGUGGUUUCUGCUGAGUUGCCCAAUGCUCUCUUUAGACCUGUUCCUGCAUAUGAUGUUAUCUGUCCAUAUGAUGGAAAAAUAAAAUAAAAUAAAAUAAAACACCCCCUUCUGCACUUCUAGUGAAUAUUUCAUUAUUCAUAGUUAUGGUGAGUAGCUCUCUUGUAUCCAUUUUUCUUUUGUCGAUGCUUUCUCCUUUAGUAAUUUGGUCAUUUGGUGAGCUUUUGUUCCUCAAAAUAUGUGGAUUCUCACAUAACGUGGCCUUUUUUUUUUUUUUUUGCAUGUGUAUAUAGAUACUUGUAAUGAAACAACUACUAAUUGAAUUGUUCUAAUAAUGAAAGUAGCUACAUGUCCCUUGAAUAUGCUUUGGAAGUCUCUUUUUAUGACUUUGUUGUGAGUAUUACCUUGACACUUGCCUGUUUUUGUCAGAAUCCAGGGUCUUUUUUGUUAGUCACAUUGUAUAUUGCCUCUCUUUUUUUAUCUCCUGUAGCUAAAGAUGUCCAAUUUCACAAGGUUGUGCAGCACAAAGAGCAUGCUGACUGUGAAUGAAAGCUUUCCAGGGCCGGUCAUUCGGAUUCAUAGAGGCGAUAAGGUGUAUGUGAUUGUGCAGAAUGAAGGUGAUUACGGUGUCACUAAGAAAGAGGAAACUGUUAGGCAUGGAGUGAAGCAAACAAGGAAUCCAUGGUCAGAAGGUCUUUGUUUGUUUUUAACAUAUUUUAAUUAUUUUUACUCUUUUUUUUUUGUUAUUUGAUGAGAAUUGUUUUAAAAAAUAAUUAUACAAUAAAGAAUGAUUAAAAUAAAAUAUUAUCCAUAAAAUUUACUUCUAAAACAUAUUUGAAAACACAAAAGAAAUUGAGAAAAUUCUACCCCCAAAAAGAAGAAAAAAAAGAACAAAAGGGCUCAACAAAGAGAAGCUUAACCAUCACCCUUGUCCUCAAGUAAUGAAAUAUGGAAAAGACAAACUGCCCUACCCUUAAAGAAUCCUAAACAAGAGAACAAGAAAUUUCGGAGGAAAAAAAAAUUAUGCUUAUCUUUGACCUCUUCAUCCCUUCCAAAUUGUUACCCUCCAUGUCCAUUUUCUUUUAGCAUGACAAAGUCUUGACACCAAAUAUGACAUCCCCCAUGAAGUACAAUGCAAUUAAGCUUGUUUCAAAGGUUUUUAAAAGGAAGAUUGCCAUCAGAGAUUGGAAACGUUUUCAUCACUUUGAAGAAGGUGUGUUCUUGCAUGGAUUAUUGGUAACCAAUAUAUAGAAUUCUGAAAUUCAUGUUAAAGAAGAAAUAUGUAAUUACUUGAGGGUUUCUACAUGAUCCCUUUCUAUUUACUCUAUUUGAAGUUACAUGGAAACAUAAAUGAGAAAACAUUGGAUGGGCCUAAACAGUUUAGCUCAUUUGCAAAAUGCACUACUAUUGAAGAGAAACUGUUGGCUCUAAAGCCAAAGAAUUUGGAUUUUGUUCAAGCUGCUGGACUUCCUCUUACAAUUGAGACAGCCUAUGAUGGUCUCGAAAGGACUGGAUUUACUGUUGGUAAAUCGAUUCUUGUUUUGGGUGGUGUUGGUGGAGUUGGAAGCCUUGUUAUCUAGGCAUUUGAAUUUCAGUUCCUAAUUAUUUAUUUUCCAUUUUAAAUGUUAUCCAUUCAUGGCCUACAAUGGAAAAAAAACUUUUGUACUUAAAAUAUGAAACUCCUGUUGCAGUUAGAUGGGGUUCCUCUAUUUAUUAGUUAUUAAAAAUUGAGAUAGGGGCUCUCAGUAGAGCAAACAGAACAAAAUUUGUGCUACUGUUGCCCCCUAAAUAAUUAGGAUAAGGCAAAUGAAUACGAUAUAGAACAAUAAUUCCAUUUUUCCUCCUUUUUUAUGGCUUGAGCCAUGCAAAACAAGUGUUUGGUGCCUCAAGAGUCGCACUGCUACUUCAAGUACAAGAAAACUAGAGCUAAUGAAGAGCUUGGGAACUGGUUUGAUGAUUGACUACACUAAGGAGAAGUUUGAAGAUUGGCAGAGAAAUUCGAUGUAGUUUACUAUGCAGUUGGUAAAUUCUUGUAUUUAUUGCUCAUUUUGAAGAGUCACUUAUUGCACUAUUAUCCUUUAUUUGAAAUGCCCUUUAUCCCACUUUAGCUUAUUGAAAUUUAAUUCCUCUGCUCCAUAUCUGUUUGGGUCUUGUUUGAUAGAGUGAAUUGCCGGUGGAUGAACACAUAACUUUUUCCUUUCUACAUUAGUAAGGCAGUGUGGUAAGGCAGUGAAAAUAGUGAAAGAAGGAGACAGUGUGGUGGCCUUAAUUGGUGCCGUCACACCUCCUGGUACCACUUGAAUCAGCAAAACUUUGAGUCUCAAUUCUCAUUGUCUUCAUAUCCUCUGUUUUUCUAGAGAAGGGUAUGGAAAAAGCCAAAUGAUGACCAUGAGCAUGGAGAUGCAUAUCAGGCAGCAAAAGUGGAAUUUUUCAGAGUAUUUUCCUUGGUGAGAGAGGACUUGUUUUUAUAAUUAUUUGUUGAAUUUUUUAACAUAUGAAGUUGAUAGCAUCUCAACUUUUCCUGGCAAAGCCUGAAGCUGGGAAGCUAAUUGCUGCCACCAUCACAUUUUUUAUAGCAUCUACAUCAAGUGUUAUGCUCAUAAGCCUUUUUUGUACUGGUGCCUAUGCUUUGCCUCAUGUUUCUUUUCAAUAAUAAAACAGACCUACUUAUGAAUGGUGUUGGCUCAGUGACGAAUGUCAAAAUCUGAAACUCCUAUCAUUCAUUA